CGCCACCGCCGCUCGCAUCGUCGCCUUCUCCUCAGCUCUUAAGCUCCCACCCCUCUCGCUCGCCAGUCGCCUGUGCCCCGAGCCCCCACUAGCUCGACCUUGGAGGAGGCUGCGGUCGCCGGAUCCAGCCAUGGCCAUCACCAACGCCCUCCUCUCCAUCGCCGCAGGCCCAUGUUGGAUUCAGCCGGCGUGCCGGCCGAGCGCGCAACCCUAACCUCAAUUAGGAGCCCGAGGGAGGGGGAGCGGGACUGGAGCUCGAUUCAGCCGCCGUGCCUUGGAUUCAGCCGCCGUGCUAUACCCGGGGGAGGGGGGAGCGGGACUGGAGCUUGAUUUGGACAGGGGGCGGUUUGUGGCUCCCGUGCGCGUUGAAGAUCCGGCGGCGGCCGCGUCCUGCAUCAACGGCGCGACGAGGAAUCAUAGGACAGAUGGGAGAGAUGAGGAGAUGGGAGGAGGAAGGAAGGAACGGGGAGGGACUCACCGACGCGGUGGCGCUCGCCGGAGGCUGGCUGGCGGCGGGGUCACACGAAAACGGCGGCACGCGUGUGGCACCCUCCCCGGCGGCGCGAGCAGGAAGGAGGAGGUGCACAGGAGGCGUAGGUGCUACGGUGAGAUGGGCUUCAGAUGUGCAGCCGGCCCUAGCGCUGCAACUUCUGCAUCAGAGAAGGUGGAAGAUAAUCUGUUCAAUCUUUUCAAAGGUACAUUGGUGAAAUGCAGCAACCAGAUAAAAGAAAUGCAUUACUCCAUCACCACACUGAUGCUCCAUCUCCCUCUGAUGGCAAGUGCGACCCUGAUGAAGCUGCUCCCCUACAUCAAGGACUACCCCAACAGUGCGGCCUUGAUGGCACAACUCCCAUACACCAAGGACUAGCCCCAUGGUGCGGCCACGACAUCACUGCUCCCCUACACCGCCGACUACAACCUGAGAUCUUAGAACAGGUUUGCAGGUUCAUUGGAACAAAUGUUCAAAAGGAAGAUGCACAGUAAGAAUUACAGUAAGAAGUUCAACUACGAGCCCAGACAUGAGGUAUUUUAACCGCCAACAGAGGGUGUGUUGUGCUAAAAAUUAGUAAUCUUCGCUCCAAAUUCUUAGGUCACUGGCCCAGGUUAGUGCCCAUUGUCAUUGUGCAUCUCUGUUAACUAUUUUAGAACUAGCACAAAUCUGAGUAGGGCUGGAACAAAAUGAACACCCAGGGUUCGAGUACCUCUACUAUGAUAUAAUUAUCUUCCAAACAGGUGUCAUUUCCUUAUCAAGAUGGUUCUCGUGAUUUAGGAAAACUAACAACACCUCAAUGGUCUUCGCACUAGAUUAGCUGUAGGAUCCAUUUUCUGGAGCAUUUUGAUUUUGGUGGACUAUU